UAGGGAAUCUUCGGCAAUGGGGGGAACCCUGACCGAGCAACGCCGCGUGAGUGAAGAAGGUUUUCGGAUCGUAAAGCUCUGUUGUUAAGGAAGAACGAGUGUGAGAAUGGAAAGUUCAUACUGUGACGGUACUUAACCAGAAAGGGACGGCUAACUACGUGCCAGCAGCCGCGGUAAUACGUAGGUCCCGAGCGUUGUCCGGAUUUAUUGGGCGUAAAGCGAGCGCAGGCGGUUAGAUAAGUCUGAAGUUAAAGGCAGUGGCUCAACCAUUGUAGGCUUUGGAAACUGUUUAACUUGAGUGCAGAAGGUGAGGGUGGAAUUCCAUGUGUAGCGGUGAAAUGCGUAGUUAUAUGGAGGAACACCGGUGGCGAAAGCGGCUCUCUGGUCUGUAACUGACGCUGAGGCUCGAAAGCGUGGGGAGCGAACAGG
rnacentral:rRNA from 1 species